UACACUCCUGCGGGAGGCAGCAGUGGGGAAUAUUGGACAAUGGGCGCAAGCCUGAUCCAGCCAUGCCGCGUGAGUGAUGAAGGCCCUAGGGUUGUAAAGCUCUUUUGUGCGGGAAGAUAAUGACGGUACCGCAAGAAUAAGCCCCGGCUAACUUCGUGCCAGCAGCCGCGGUAAUACGAAGGGGGCUAGCGUUGCUCGGAAUCACUGGGCGUAAAGGGUGCGUAGGCGGGUCUUUAAGUCAGGGGUGAAAUCCUGGAGCUCAACUCCAGAACUGCCUUUGAUACUGAAGAUCUUGAGUUCGGGAGAGGUGAGUGGAACUGCGAGUGUAGAGGUGAAAUUCGUAGAUAUUCGCAAGAACACCAGUGGCGAAGGCGGCUCACUGGCCCGAUACUGACGCUGAGGCACGAAAGCGUGGGGAGCAAACAGGAUUAGAAACCCUUGUAGUCCCAUG
rnacentral:rRNA from 1 species